CGGCGGCCUCUUCUGCACAACGGGUUCGAGCAGGCUCCCUGAGCACAAUUUAUUUGCUGAAAGGCCACAUCUCACUAUGGAGUGAGGAUCAAGAAGUAAAGGUCUGAAAGAGAGAAGCUGCGGGGCUGGGGAGACUGUUGGUCGGAGAGGCGUCGGGGGCCCAAGGAAAAGGGAGGAUUGUGGGGAGGAAUCGGCGUAGAGAUGAGAGGAGCAGCAGAGACAGAGUCUCACGCAGAGGUGUGCCCAGACACCCU
rnacentral:lncRNA from 1 species